AUAAUCUAAUAAUAAUGAAGUCAUGCAUAACACCUUUUGACCAAAGUGCUGUACAGUUCCUCCAAAUAUAAAUAAAUGAAUGAAUGAAUUGCAAAAACACCAUAAAUUAUCAAUAAAAUCAACAAUAGGUUUAGACAAUAAAACAUCAACACUAGAGUAAAGGUAAAAUACAAAUAAAAGCUAUAAAAGACAUGUCUGUCUCAACUUGAGGUGAAAGCAAGCGAAAAGAGGUAGGUUUUUAAAAGAGAUUUAAAGUGUUCCAAAGUAGCAUCAUAACUCUGAUUAUCUCACUUGCAGCAGGUUGGACUUUUCUUCCUCAGAGAAGAAGCACGAUGUGACAUAUGUUGAAGAAUGGAUCAAAUCUUUGGACGAUCAGCCGGACGAUCUUAUUGGUCCAGACANUGC